rnacentral:rRNA from 1 species
CAGUCGCCACGGUAAUACGAAGGGGGCUAGCGUUGCUCGGAAUCACUGGGCGUAAAGGGUGCGUAGGCGGGUCUUUAAGUCAGGGGUGAAAUCCUGGAGCUCAACUCCAGAACUGCCUUUGAUACUGAAGAUCUUGAGUUCGGGAGAGGUGAGUGGAACUGCGAGUAUAGAGGUGAAAUUCGUAGAUAUUCGCAAGAACACCAGUGGCGAAGGCGGCUCACUGGCCCGAUACUGACGCUGAGGCACGAAAGCGUGGGGUGCAAACAGGAUUAGAUACCCGCGUAGUCCCUGUCUCUUAUAC